AAAAAAGAAAACCUUGUUUAUGCAUUGGCCACUGACAACCUUGCAUGUAUCUUUACGAAUGAUAUCUGAAGAAACAUUGCAUAUCUACUUCCUUUUCAUCUCUCUGCAUUUCUUCCUUGGUUACCUAAAUGUUUUUGCUUUCCAUUUGCCUUUUAUUUAAUGCACAUGAAAUUGGUUCUAGUAUUUUUAUUACUAGAAAUAUUUGAUCUUUUUCAGAUUGCGUUUGUAUGAUUUGGUUGAGCUAAAGGUUCAAGGAGAUGGUAACUGUCAAUUCCGUGCUUUGUCAGAUCAAAUUUAUCGUACUACUGAGCACCACCAAUUUGUAAGACAACAAGUUGUUGAUCAGCUCAAAUUGCACCCAGAAUUAUAUGAAGUUUAUGUUCCAAUGGCUUAUGAUGACUAUUUGAAGAACAUUAGCAAGUCUGGUGAGUGGGGUGAUCAUGUCACAUUGCAGGCUGCUGCAGAUGCGGUAUUAGUUGCUCUCUUUCUCUCAUAUGCACAUUAGCAUUAUCUAGCCAUUUGGAAAACAUAGCUUAAACUGUUGUUCACAAAUUUGUCUUUGCACUUUGUGUGG